AUUCUUUUGUCCUGCUUCAGAAUCAUAUCAGCCUUUGUCCAAGUUAUUUUAGGUUCAGGUUUUCCGGUUACGGUGGCAGGAAGUUCAAUCUUGGUCCCAGCUUUUACAGUGAGACCAGCAAGGAGCUUCACAUCGAGGAAGAUUUCUGGGGCCUCUGAAUUGGAAAAGAUUAUUUAUGAUGUUAUCAAGUUCAAGCAGAUUUAAGGUUCUCCACAGGCAACCCAUUUAUCAGAACCACGUGGACAUCUUUCAACUAUAUAUCCUUUGAUGCGUGAACCACCAUCAUUUUUAGGUGGAUCCCAUGUUAAGAAGAUGCUAUUGGCUGUUCGAUCUCUCCAUUUAACAUUCUCUGGCCUAAUAUCUGGAUUUCAUGCAGUAAUUAUUUCCCUUUUUUGAUGGGCUUACCAAUUGGAUCAGCAACUUUGACGAAGGGUGUGGCUGCACUUGGUUUUCCAACUCCAAUUCGAUUUUGGGCUCUCACUCGGAAACUGUACUCCUGUCCUUCUACCACAUCAGUAACAGUUGCAGACAGGUCUUCAGCUCUCACAGUCAUGGCAGUAUCCCACCUGAUAGAAGUCUUGUCUCUUAAUUCAAUGACGUAGUUUGUGAUCUCAGCACCUCCAUCAUACUCUGGUGGUUCCCAUGUCAGUGAGACACCAAAUCGAUUCACAUCAGUGAUGGUUACAUUCAAAGGAGGGCCUGGAACAUCUGGAUUUCACCACAGAAGAAGAAAAUAUGAGUUUGGGGUAACGAUGAUGAAGGCAAAGACUGCAAUUUACUUAAAAGCUAACUUGAAUUUACUUAAAACUUCUUACCAUAUUUACUCCUUGCUUCUACAGGAUUGUCAGUUUCUACUGGCUCACCAGUGCCAACUCUGUUUCUUGCACUCACACGGAAUAGGUACU
rnacentral:lncRNA from 1 species